rnacentral:rRNA from 1 species
GACGAACGCUGGCGGCGUGCUUAACACAUGCAAGUCGAACGGAAAGGCCCUGCUUUUGUGGGGUGCUCGAGUGGCGAACGGGUGAGUAACACGUGAGUAACCUGCCCUUGACUUUGGGAUAACUUCAGGAAACUGGGGCUAAUACAGGAUAGGAGCUCCUGCUGCAUGGAGGGGGUUGGAAAGUUUCGGCGGUUGGGGAUGGACUCGCGGCUUAUCAGCUUGUUGGUGGGGUAGUGGCUUACCAAGGCUUUGACGGGUAGCCGGCCUGAGAGGGUGACCGGCCACAUUGGGACUUGAAUACGGCCCAGACUCCUACGGGAGGCAGCAGUGGGGAAUAUUGCACAAUGGGCGGAAGCCUGAUGCAGCAACGCCGCGUGCGGGAUGACGGCCUUCGGGUUGUAAACCGCUUGCGCCUGUGACGAAGCGUGAGUGACGGUAAUGGGUAAAGAAGCACCGGCUAACUACGUG